rnacentral:rRNA from 1 species
GAUGAACGCUGGCGGCGUGCCUAAUACAUGCAAGUCGAGCGAACAGACGAGGCGCUUGCUCCUCUGACGUUAGCGGCGGACGGGUGAGUAACACGUGGAUACCCUACCUAUCAGACUGGGAUCACUUCGGGACACCGGCGCUAAUCCCGGAGAAUCUAUUGAACCGCAUGGUUCAAUAGUGAAAGACGGUUUUGCUGUCACUUAUAGCUGGAUCCGCGCCGCAUUGGCUAGUUGGUAAGGUAACGGCUUACCAAGGCAACGCUGCGUAGCCGACCUGAGAGGGGGGUCGGCCACACUGGAACGGAGACGGGGUCCAUACGCCUACGGGAGGCAGCAGUAGGGAAUCGUCCGCAAUGGGCGAAAGCCUGACGGAGCAACGCCGCGUGAGUGAUGAAGGUCUUCGGAUCGUAAAACUCUGUUAUUAGGGAAGAACAAAUGUGUAAGUAACUAUGCACUUCUUGACGGUACCGAGUCAGAAAGCCACGGCUAACUACGUG